rnacentral:lncRNA from 1 species
AUUUCCUCCAUUUCAUCACAAUAUCUAACAUCAAUAUUCUCUAAGUUUGGGAGGCCUUGCAACUGCUCAACUGGAAACAACUUCUUCACCCUCGAACAAAAACUGAUAUCUAAUUUUUUAAGAGAAGAGAAGAUGGCAGGUGGUGUUGGAGAAUGAGAGGUAGAUUCAAUUUCAACUGCUACUCCUACUCUCACAACUUCACGCAAGUUUUUCAACAAAAAUAGGCGUAACUCCUCAAUGUUGUCAAGUGCGUCACAAGACGAUAAUGACAAGUCAACCACACACUCCAUCCCUUUACACUGCCAAAUUCGACAUUCCUUCCAGUCAGUCGCCUUACGAAACAAAGGAAUGUUGUUUAAACAUUUGAAAUCAUCAUACUUGUCAAUAGUUAAAGUUUGAAGGUCAUGUGGGACCACCCUAGGGACCAGUCUGAUGAGUUCUAUCUUUCAGGGAAUUCAGGCUUAAACAUCAACUUUCAGGGAAUUAAGGCUUGAAUCCUUCAAAAAGUGGGAGCUGAGUACCAUCACAAUUCCCUUUUGAACCACAAAGUCCAUAUCUGUCAAAAUAGUCUCUUGGAGCAAAUGAGAAAAGCAUCCAAGCUUGCUUUCUGCAUUUCAUGUGUAGUCCUGUGAUCAAUGAUUUCUAUUUGAGACACUUAUGAUGGUUGACAUAAAAAAUAGAAAUACCAAGUGGGUAGAUCAUGCGCUGUUUUCAUAGGAUAAUGUGAUUGAUUGACUUUUGAUGAAUGAAGUAUACACAAAGUGCAGCAGAAAACAAAUUAUAAACAUUCUCUUCAUUGGACAAACAUAACUUCAAUGACUUACUUGUAUUAAAUGAUUUCCAAUUCAUCAACCAUUUGAGACUAGUGUGGAUGUGCAGGAUAGUCCUAAGAAUUCAUCACCAAGUUCAACAGGGGUGCCUUCCUUCCUCCCAUAAUCUCCAAGCCUGCAGCAAAUUGAAAACCUUUUAGUCAUUUUGCUAUAUCUUUCAACAUUUUAAUUCAUAAUAAUCAAAGUAUUUUUGAAACAUGCGAGUGAAAAUGAAAAUAAAGGAAACGGGUGGGAAGGUGUAAUAGGAGGGGAUGUAGGAAAUGUGAGAUAGCAAUUGGCGGAGAAAUGCAGAUUGAAGGGUGUUGAGUUGGAGAAUUUAUUUUUAUAUUAAAAAUAAAAAGUUAAAGACUUAGUUUUAUUUUGAUAUUAAAAAAGAGAAAUUAUUUAACAAAUGAGAAAUUAAGAGAUAAAAAGAGGACGUGGAUGAAAAUAAACUCACAGUGUUUGCAGUUCUUAAUAAGAAGCAGGAGCCUUACAGCCACAUUUAAUCAAACACCUCUUCUCCAUCUCAUUCUACCACUGAGAAUAUCGAAGAAAGGGAGAAAGGACAUCCUUAGCAUCAGGCUGAUCCCAUUCCACUGAUUCCCACCAUUCUCUCGACCAUACUGUGAUUUCUUUUAGAGAAGGAGGAAGAGAUGGUUUCCCAUUUUCAACAAGGGGAAGAGACAAAGGGAUCCUCUUUACUUCUGGACAUUUGAUUAUAUAAAGAUAUUGGAGAGAAUCUGUAGGAAUCAUAAGUCCACCACUGCAAAUGCUUUUCAAUUUUGGUAACGUAGCCAACUUUAAUGAUUUUAAUUUGGGAAGAAUAAAUGUUGUUCCUUCUCCUUUGUGAUUUUCUUCUAAUGCUAUUAUUUCCUCCAUUUCAUCACAAUAUCUAACAUCAAUAUUCUCUAAGUUUGGGAGGCCUUGCAACUGCUCAACUGGAAACAACUUCUUCACCCUCGAACAAAAACUCAUACGGAAUCGUUUAAGAGAAGAGAAGAUGGCAGGUGGUGUUGGAGCAUGAGAGGUAGAUUCAAUUUCAACCGCUACUCCUACUCUCACAACUUCACGCAAGUUUUCCAUCAAAAAUAGGCCUAACUCCUCAAUGUUGUCAAGUGCGUCACAAGACGAUGAUGACAACUCAACCACACACUCCAUCCCUUCACACUCCCCAAUUCGACAUUCCUUAAAGUCAGUCGCCUUACGAAACAAAGGAAUGUUGUUUAAACAUUUGAAAUCAUCAUCCUUGUUAAUAGUUAAAGUUUGAAGGUCAUGUGGGACCACCCUAUCAUCACACCUCUCUAUCUCC